GACGAACGCUGGCGGCGUGCUUAACACAUGCAAGUCGAACGGAAAGGCCUGCUUUCCCUUGUGGAUUGCGGGUACUCGAGUGGCGAACGGGUGAGUAACACGUGAGUGAUCUGCCCCCAACUUGGGUAUAAGCCUGGGAAACUGGGUCUAAUUCCCGAUAGGACUGCAGGGUGGUGCCUGUGGUGGAAAACGAUUUUCUAGUGGUUGGGGAUGAGCUCGCGGCCUAUCAGCUUGUUGGUGGGGUAAUGGCCUACCAAGGCGGCGACGGGUAGCCGGCCUGAGAGGGUGGACGGCCACAUUGGGACUGAGAGACGGCCCAGACUCCUACGGGAGGCAGCAGUGGGGAAUAUUGCACAAUGGGCGGAAGCCUGAUGCAGCGACGCCGCGGGGGGGAUGACGGCCUUCGGGUUGUAAACUCCUUUCGACCGCGAGGAAGCCACCUGGUUGGAAGGGUGGCGACGGUAGUGGUAGAAGAAGCACCGGCUAACUACGUG
rnacentral:rRNA from 1 species